rnacentral:rRNA from 1 species
AGUGAACGCUGGCGGUAGGCCUAACACAUGCAAGUCGAACGGCAGCACAGGAGAGCUUGCUCUCUGGGUGGCGAGUGGCGGACGGGUGAGGAAUACAUCGGAAUCUACCUUUUCGUGGGGGAUAACGUAGGGAAACUUACGCUAAUACCGCAUACGACCUACGGGUGAAAGUGGGGGACCGCAAGGCCUCACGCGAUUAGAUGAGCCGAUGUCCGAUUAGCUAGUUGGCGGGGUAAUGGCCCACCAAGGCGACGAUCGGUAGCUGGUCUGAGAGGACGAUCAGCCACACUGGAACUGAGACACGGUCCAGACUCCUACGGGAGGCAGCAGUGGUGAAUAUUGGACAAUGGGCGCAAGCCUGAUCCAGCCUUACCGCGUGGGUGAAGAAGGCCUUCGGGUUGUAAAGCCCUUUUGUUGGGAAAGAAAUCCUGUCGAUUAAUACUCGGUGGGGAUGACGGUACCCAAAGAAUAAGCACCGGCUAACUUCGUGCCAGCAGCCGCAGUAAUAC